CAGCCGCCGCGGUAAUACCGGCAGCACGAGUGAUAGCCACUAUUAUUGGGCCUAAAGCGUCCGUAGCCGGCUACACAGGUCCGUCGGGAAAUCCACCCGCUCAACGGGUGGGCGUCCGGCGGAAACCAGGUAGCUUGGCUUGGGGCCGGAAGACCAGAGGGGUACGUCCGGGGUAGGAGUGAACUCCNGUAAUCCUGGACGGACCACCGGUUGCGAAAGCGCCUCUGGAGGACGGACCCGACGGUGAGGGACGAAAGCUUGGGUCUCGAACCGGAUUAGAUACCCGGGUAGUCCAAGCUGUAAACGAUGCUCGCUAGGUGCGGCGCAGGCUACGAGCUUGCGCUGUGCCGUAGGGAAGCCGAGAAGCGAGCCGCCUGGGAAGUACGUCCGCAAGGAUGAAACUUAAAGGAAUUGGCGGGGGAGCAC
rnacentral:rRNA from 1 species